UACGUAGGGGGCAAGCGUUGUCCGGAUUUAUUGGGCGUAAAGAGCGUGUAGGCGGCCAAGCAGGUCCGCUGUGAAAACUCGAGGCUCAACCUCGAGACGUCGGUGGAAACCGUUUGGCUAGAGUCCGGAAGAGGAGAGUGGAAUUCCCGGUGUAGCGGUGAAAUGCGCAGAUAUCGGGAAGAACACCAAUGGCGAAAGCAGCUCUCUGGGACGGUACUGACGCUGAGACGCGAAAGCGUGGGGAGCGAACAGG
rnacentral:rRNA from 1 species